GAACCUGUGGUGCAAUGGUAGCACAUAUGACUUCAAGUCAGAAGAUGCGUGUUCGAAUCACGCCUGGUUCA